GUGGGGGUAGCAAAGUCUGGUCAAAUGCGAUAGACUCAAGAUCUAUUCCCUUUGGGUUCAAGGGUUCGAAUCCCUUCCCCCACA
rnacentral:tRNA from 1 species